UCAAACUUGGUCAUUUAGAGGAAGUAAAAGUCGUAACAAGGUUUCCGUAGGUGAACCUGCGGAAGGAUCAUUACCGAGUGAGGGUCCCCUCGCGGGGCCCAACCUCCCACCCGUGUCUACUGUACCCUGUUGCUUCGGCGGGUCGACCCCCCUUCCGGGGGCGCCUGCCCGCCGGAGACCCCCAACAUGAACACUGUACGAGAGUAUUGCAGUCUGAGUGGAUUGAUACCAAUCAGUUAAAACUUUCAACAAUGGAUCUCUUGGUUCCGGCAUCGAUGAAGAACGCAGC
rnacentral:misc_RNA from 1 species